GACGAACUGUCCUAACGUCGUUCGGAAUUAUUGGGCGUAAAGGGUGCGUAGGCGGUGCGGUAAGUCUGUUGUGAAAUCUCCGGGCUCAACUCGGAGUCUGCAUCAGAAACUGCCGUGCUGGAGUGUGGGAGAGGUGAGUGGAAUUCCCGGUGUAGCGGUGAAAUGCGUAGAGAUCGGGAGGAACACCUGCGGCGAAAGCGGCUCACUGGACCAUAACUGACGCUGAUGCACGAAAGCUAGGGGAGCAAACAGG
rnacentral:rRNA from 1 species